rnacentral:piRNA from 1 species
UGCCCUUUGUCCAAAGUGCUCUGUCCCA